AGGUAAACAAGACAGCAGAUCGAUCACAAACCACGUUUUCAAAUAGUUCAUCCUUAUGAGCUUUGGGUCAGAAAUGACCUCUCCACCAGGUCCCACAAAAGUUGUGUGAAAAUUUAAAACGAUGUCCACCAGAAAAAUAACGUCCACCACACUGUCCAGCACCAGCCAGGCUAUAUUGUUCUGCUUUGUUUUGAAGGAAACGUUAUAAGGAACCAUGAUGGCGGUGUAGAAGAAUUGUCCAGAAGUUUGCUCAAAGGACCCUAUGCCAGUCCAACUACUCCACAAGUUGACCUGAUUACUAGUCCAUCUGCUUGGCUCUCCAGUGGUCAACCUUGACCCACAGCAACAUGUCUCAGGUGCUCCUGUUCAUGCACUGAGCUAGUCUCCAAACAACUCCUUCAAAGUGGAACCUGAAGCUGGUCAAAGACUGAAGGGGCGAGACCUGGGCCUACAAGAGACUAGUGCCAGCCAAAUCACAGAGUACAGCUCACCUCGACGGAAACCAAACGGGUAUGACUGAUGUCUCAGCAGUUCGCGGAUGUUACUUAGACAUGAUCGAUAUGGGGUAAUACGAACAGACAGUUGCGCAUGGCGAGCAGAAUGCUUGCACUGGUUUUAUAUCAGAGUGGUAUUGGUAUCAUCACAUGAGUUGGGAGACUUCCCUCUGUUUCUGCAUUCUGGAAGGGACUUGAACAUGCAAGUCUUGUGCAGGCAAUCACAGGCGUUGUGAGUUCAUGUGGACACCAGCUAUGCUACGUCCAGAAGACAGCACUUCCCAGGCCUCCUCCCCACCCUCCAGCUCUUGUGUUCUUUUUGCCUCCUCUUUCAUAAUGUUCCUUGAGCCUUGAUGGUUUGGGAGGCUGAUAAAGAUGGCCCAUUUAGGGCUGAGCAUGAGGGGGACAUUUUUAGGAAGGGGAGGGGGACUAAGGGCAGCAAUGAUCAUAUUUCACUAUAUACGUGUGUGAAAUCCUGAAGAAGGAAAAAGAAAUAUCUUUCUUCAGCAUUUAUUAGGGUCUACUGAUAAAACUAUUCACACUUUCUA